rnacentral:rRNA from 1 species
AGUGAACGCUGGCGGUAGGCCUAACACAUGCAAGUCGAACGGCAGCACAGUAAGAGCUUGCUCUUACGGGUGGCGAGUGGCGGACGGGUGAGGAAUACAUCGGAAUCUACUUUUUCGUGGGGGAUAACGUAGGGAAACUUACGCUAAUACCGCAUACGACCUACGGGUGAAAGCAGGGGAUCUUCGGACCUUGCGCGAUUGAAUGAGCCGAUGUCGGAUUAGCUAGUUGGCGGGGUAAAGGCCCACCAAGGCGACGAUCCGUAGCUGGUCUGAGAGGAUGAUCAGCCACACUGGAACUGAGACACGGUACAGACUCCUACGGGAGGAAGCAGUGGGGAAUAUUGGACAAAGGGCGCAAGCCUGAUCCAGCCAUACCGCGUGGGUGAAGAAGGCCUUCGGGUUGUAAAGCCCUUUUGUUGGGAAAGAAAAGCAGCAGGUUAAUACCCCGCUGUUCUGACGGUACCCAAAGAAUAAGCACCGGCUAACUUCGUG